CUCAUGAAUGGGUGAGAUUCAGGGGAGGAGGAAUCCAACACAGGAGGGAGCGUAUUUGUGUUUCAGAAUUUGCCAAGGGAACCACCGGACGAGCCCGGCUAGGCUUUUCAACGAGAACACGCGAGAAACACCUCCAGGGAACAGGAUGGAGUCUUCCUCUCCUGUUUCUGGUGUCGAAGACAUAUUUUCCUUCUCUGCAACUAUUUAUUUAGUAUGAAGGAAAAACCCUCUCCUGUGCACUGUCUCAUCUACUUCCCAGGACAGGCCUGAGUGGGGACUGUUGUUCCCUUGAUGUCACCGAAGAGACAAUGGAGGUUGUGACGCGUAGAUCAUCCCAUCGCUGAAAAGAAGCAAAAGUGGACGGUUUUCAUCCGUAAUUCGUAGUUUUUCAUUUUGAGCUAGGACUGAACUUUAAAAAAGCCAACUACAAGGAAAUAAAAACAGUCAUACAGAAAAAAAAAUUUAACUAUAAAUGCACAGUUGAACAAAUCAUCACAAAGCAGCUGCCUGUGCUGAUAAGAUUCAUCCACAUUGCUGAGUGAAGCCAUGGCACGUUCCUCCUCUUUAUUCCUACAGUAUAUUCCAUUUGGGGGCUGUAUCCUGAUUUAUUCGUCCGCACUAGGCGUGCCCUCUGCCAGACUUUGGCUAAUUAAAAGAGGUGAAGGUACGCCAGGGGCGAGCCAACGUUUCAAGAAGCCUUGCAUGUUUCCGUCUGCUCUCCUGUACCUCUGUCAUCACCGUGAGAAGGUCGUGGGCAUGGUAGGCUGCUCGUGGAAAGAGCGUGAUGAGAGAUGUACCGAACAGAGUAAACUCAAAGAAGCAUGAGCCCGACCAAGCUCAGCGAACUUGAGUGGAUAAACAAUAAAUGCUUAUUGUUGCAUGAUGCUGA